UCUAAACCUAGGGGCACAAAAGGUUUACAAUGUGCAAGCUAUCUCCAAGUGGUCAGCAAGGAUCCGGGAUGUGAUCGUUUGGAUCAAAAGAUCCUCAAUGAUUAAGACCAUUUUCAAAGAGAAGCAGCGUCUCCUGGGCCUGCCUGACCAUUCUGUGGUCCUUGAUGUCAAAACCCGCUGGAAUUCUCUUUAUCUCAUGGUGGAGAGAUUUGUGGAGCAAUAUCCUGCAAUACAGGCAGCAUUCUUGGACCCGCGUGCCAAAAAAGCUCAUGAAGAGAGACAGACUUGAAGAGAUCACAGAUGAAGACUUCAGGAGGGCUGAGGACUUUGUCAGUCUGAUGCGCAUGCUGUAUACAAGUACCCUGUGUGUGUCAAGCGACAAGUCUUCUACAUGUGGCCAGAUAAUUCCCAUUCUGCAAAAACUGAAGACCCACUUAACUGUCAAAGAGGAGGAUUCCA